rnacentral:rRNA from 1 species
UACGGGAGGCAGCAGUGGGGAAUAUUGCACAAUGGGGGAACCCUGAUGCUGCGACGCCGCGUGAGCGAAGAAGGUUUUCGAAUCGUAAAGCUCUGUCCUAUGAGAAGGAUAAUGACGGUAUCAUAGGAGGAAGCCCCGGCUAAAUACGUGCCAGCAGCCGCGGUAAU